rnacentral:rRNA from 1 species
AAGGCCUUCGGGUUGUAAAGCACUUUUGUCCGGAACGAAACGGCGGAUGCAAAUAACAUCCGUUAAUGACGGUACCGGAAGAAUAAGCACCGGCUAACUACGUGC